UACGUAGGGGGCAAGCGUUGUCCGGAUUUAUUGGGCGUAAAGAGCGUGUAGGCGGCUAGAUAGGUCCGUUGUGAAAACUCGAGGCUCAACCUCGAGACGUCGAUGGAAACCAUCUGGCUAGAGUCCGGAAGAGGAGAGUGGAAUUCCUGGUGUAGCGGUGAAAUGCGCAGAUAUCAGGAAGAACACCGGUGGCGAAGGCGGGUCUCUGGGCAACAACUGACGCUGAGGAGCGAAAGCGUGGGGAGCGAACAGG
rnacentral:rRNA from 1 species